UUAGCAAUUGUUGGUUAGCGGAGGAGUUGAUUCGGCUGUUUGUGCUGCUUUGUUACGCCAUGCAUUACAUCCAAACCAAAUUAUUGCAGUUCACAUUGACAACGGAUUCAUGCGUAAAGGAGAAAGUAAAAAGGUUGAAAAAUCUUUAAGGAAAAUCGGCAUUGAUCUGCUGGUGAAAAAGGAAACUUAUCGAUUUUAAAAGGCACUACACAGAUUAAAAGGCCUGGACAAUUCUCAAUUGCAGAAACGCCCAUGUUGUUUCAGACUAUUAACCCAGAGGAGAAACGAAAGUUUAUUGGUGAUGUAUUCGUAAAAAUUACCAAUGAUAUUAUAGCUGAAAUGAAGUUGAGCCUGAUGAAGUAUUAUUAGCUCAAGGUACACUUCGACCAGAUUUGAUUGAAUCUGCAUAAAAUUUAAUUAGCCAGAACGCAGAAACUAUUAAAACUCAUCAUAACGAUACAGAACUAAUAAGGCUAUUAAUAUAUGUCCAUAUUUCUUAUUAAAGCUUUAAUGUCUAACUGAUUUAAAACUAUUUUAUAAGACAAUUACCAAAUGCUGGUCGUGUCGUUGAACCUUUAACCGAUUUUCACAAAGAUGAAGUAAGAGAUAUAGGCAGAGAUCUCGGUCUACCAGCCGACUUAGUUGAACGACAACCAUUUCCAGGGCCAGGCCUAGCUAUCCGAAUUCUCUGUGCUGAAGAACCUUAUAUAGAAAAAGACUACUCAGAAACACAGUUAUAGCAAAAGUU